GUUUCUUUGCUAUUUGAUGCGUUGAGAGCUUGGAUGCUUGGAUUUUCAUUGGGAAACCCAAGGUUCAAGUGCUAAUUGGAAGUUUUAUCCACCAACUCCUCCAAUCUAGUUUUCAAGAAAGAAAAGUAUUUCUCACUUUUUCAAUUUCUUUUAAAUGAUUCAUAAGAAUGUUGUCAUGAGUGAGUUUGAGUAGCAUGGAUUGCAUGUAAGAAAAGAUUAUUUUAGCUUUUUGAAUUAAUUUUUAUUUUGUUUGAGGAUUGUUGCUUGUCGAUUUUUUUAUGAGAUCUCUGAAUACAUGUGGGUUUUUAGGGUUCUAGUUAAGUUUAGAAUGUGUUUUAUGAUGAUGGAUUUUGGAUUUGAAAUAUGUUAAUGUUGUUUGAGUUAGAUGUUGGUAGUUUCUCCUUUAUGGUAUUUUUGAAUGCUUUGAGUAAAUCUUAGGUUG
rnacentral:misc_RNA from 1 species